UACAGAGGUCUCAAGCGUUGUUCGGAUUCAUUGGGCGUAAAGGGUGCGUAGGCGGCGCGGUAAGUCGGGUGUGAAAUCUCGGAGCUUAACUCCGAAACUGCAUUCGAUACUGCCGUGCUUGAGGACUGGAGAAGGAGACUGGAAUUCCCGGUGUAGUGGUGAAAUGCGUAGAUAUCGGGAGGAACACCAGUGGCGAAGGCGACUUCCUGGCCUG
rnacentral:rRNA from 1 species